rnacentral:rRNA from 1 species
UGGCAACGGGUGAGUAACACGUGGGAAAUCUGCCCUGCACUCUGGGACAAGCCUUGGAAACGAGGUCUAAUACCGGAUAUGACCUUCCCUCGCAUGGGGGUUGGUGGAAAGCUCCGGCGGUGCAGGAUGAUCCCGCGGCCUAUCAGCUUGUUGGUGGGGUAACGGCCCACCAAGGCGACGACGGGUAGCCGGCCUGAGAGGGCGACCGGCCACACUGGGACUGAGACACGGCCCAG